rnacentral:lncRNA from 1 species
UGUGCAAUACCAGAUCAAGCAUUAAAGGGACAUCUGAUCAACCAGGCAAUCUGUCCAAAGCAGCCAAAAGCAUGUCCAAAGCAUCUACAGAUUACGUUGGGGACUUCCUCGCCGAAUUCAAGGAGCAGAUCAUUGUACGAGCAACACGAGUCAGUGACAUCAUAGAGGCGGUCUUGUCCCAAAACCUGAUCCAUGACAGAGCAGCUCGUCAAGUUGAAACAGCUCCUACUGAGCAAGAAGCGAUGAGGCUUCUGUUUGAGGCUCUGGAAAGAGAACCUUCCCAACACAGAGUGUCCUUCCAUCUAAUUCUGAGAAUGACUGAGCCUGAACUUAUUCAAGAGCUGGAAUGGCGCCAACGAAACAGCAAGUCUACUCAGACAGAAGCGGAUUCAUUUACUGGAGAGAAGAGAAGGGAGGAUGAUAAAAGUGGACAGAAGACUGACAAACAUCUAAAGAAAGACUCACUGAAGAGACGAAGACUUGAAACAAUGCGUGCCAUAGAACAGAUCGAGAAACUUUGGGAAGGAACAAAACGAGAGCGAAAUGAGAUCGACAAUAUGAGGGAAAGAAUCCGCAGACAACAAGAUGAGAUUGGCAGGAUGACACAGGAGAAAAUACAGCUUGAACGCACGCUCGCUGAAACGAUGAUGCAACUACAACAUGUCAGUGAAACGAUGCAACAAAACAUGGAGGAGAUAAACCAAGAAAAAGACAGGAUUGUGCAAUUGAGAUCAGACCUACAAAGAGAGAGGAAUGCCUUGGAACAAAGACGUGAUGAAAUUGCAAUUGAGAGACAGAACAUAGAAGUGAUGAAGUAUGAAACAUUGAAAGCAAAAGAGGAGAUGGAGCGCAGUCGUGAAGUUACAAAGUAUGAGAAGGACAGGAUGGAAGAAAUGAAAACUGCCAUACAGUGGCAAAUACAGGAAAUAGAAAAGAAAGUUGAAGAGACGAAGCAAGCCAAAGAAAAAAUGGAUCAGGUGAGAGCUGAGCUUGAAGAAGAGCGGUAUGAUCUAGACAGGAAAAGGGAUGACAUUAAGAGACAAAAAGAGCAGUUUGAACAAAUAAAAAAUGAGAUACACAGAGUAAAAGAGGAGAUGGAGCAAAGAUGGCAUGAAACAGAGAAAGAAGAACUGGAUCGAAGAUUGGUUAUUCAGAGAGAGAAAGAUGAGUUGACAAAUGUAAAAGCUGAAGUUCAGAAAGCAAAAGAAGAAAUUAGAAAGAACAGAGAAGAGUCAAAACUAGAAAAGGACAGAAUAAACCAAAUGAAAGCUGAAAUGCUUAAUGAGAAAAGACUCUUAGAUAGAAAACGUCAAGAGACCUCGAGAAAAGAAAAGGAGUUGGAGCAAAUUAUGCACAGGAUUGAAAAUGAAAGAGAGGAGUUAGCACUAAAUGGAGAAUUGGUAAAGCAAGAAUGGGAAAAGUUGGAACAGGCCAAGGCAGAUAUACAGUUACAAAUAACAUCCAUUGAGACAAAGAUUGAUGAAGUUAAGCGAGCGAAUGAAAAACUGGACUGGAUGAAAGUGAUGAUACAGACUGAAAAGGAGGUUCUAGAAAAGCAGAGAGAUGACACACGGAAAGUUAAAGAGGAGCUGGAAAAAAGAAGGUAUGAAAUCAUGACAGAGGAGUUGGAGCAUAGAGCACAGUUACAGAGAGAGAAAGAUGAAUUAGAGGCCAUCAGAACAGAAAUUCAGAGGGCUAAUGAUCUGGAAAGAACAAGAGUGGAGAGAGUGAAAGAGGAGACAGUUCGGACAAAGGAGGAGGUUCAACAAGAAAGACAAGUAAUUGAACAAAUGAAGGCUGAGAUAAAAAUUGAAAAAGAUAAUCUCAGAAGACAACAGAAUGAAAUCCUAAGGGAGAGACAAGAGCUAGAGAGAAUUCAGCACAAAACAGUCCGAGCCCUAGAAGAUAUGGAGACAUGCAAGGAAAUAACAAUACUGGAGAAUGAAAAAAUGGAAAAAAUGAAAGCUGACAUUCAGACCCAAAUAGAAGAUAUAGAAAAACAAGUUACAGAAACAAGACAAGAAAAACAAAAUAUGGAUGAGAUAAAAGUGAAGCUAGAAGAAAAGAGAGAGGAGUUGGAGAGGAAAAGAGGCAGUGUUCAAAGAGAAAUGGAGCAAUGUGAGCUUAUUAAAUAUGAGAUCAUCCGUGUGAAGGAGGAAAUGGAAAAUAGGUGGCGUGAGACUGAGAAAGAAGACAUUGAGAUGAGAGAAAGACUGCAGCAAGAAAGAGACAGACUUGAACAACUGAAGGAUGAGAUCCUUAUAGUCAAAGAUGAUACAGAAAAGAGCAAAAAAGAAUUAUUGCAAGAAAAGGAGAAUUUUGAAAUCCUGAAAACUCAAACAACAAAGGACAGAGAGGCAGCCAACAAACAAAUGGACGAGCUCAAAACUAAACUUAAGGAGUUAUCACAUAUCAACAAUGAAAUAGAAAGAGAGAAGGAUGAGAUACAGAAAGAUAGAGAAAUUAUCAAACAACAAUUAUAUGAAAUCAACAAAAUUAGAGCUGAGCUACAGAGUCAAAUGGCAGAAACUGAAAAUAAGACUGUAGCAGCUAAAAUAGCUACUGAUGAGGCAGAUCAAGCCCAGCUUGCAGCACAGGAAGCGGAACUGCUUGUGAAAAAACAAAAGGAGGAGAUUGAAAAGAGAAGAUAUGAAACUGUGAAAGAGGAGUUAGAGCACAGAGCUGAGAUACAAAGAAAGAAGGAGGAAUUGGAGCAAAUGAAUGAUGAGAUACAAAGAGUUCAAAUGGAAUUACAGAAAACAAGGGACACUGAAAAGGAUAGUUUGCAGAAAACUUUACAAGAAGUGCAGGAAGAGAGAAAGGUGACUGAGCAGCUCAGAGCAACACUGCAGAAUGAAAUGCUCAUCCAAGACAGACACUCAAGUGAGAUAAAAAAAGAGAGGCAAGAGUUGGAACAGCUUCAGUUCCAGAUGCAGAAGAUGAAGGAGGACAUAGAAAAGAAGCAGUAUGAAAGAAUAAAAGAGGAUGUAGAGAGGAAGAACAAGCUGCAAAGUGAACGGGAGGAACUCGACAGACUCAGGGCUGAACUGGAAAGAGACAAAGCAGCUCUACACAGAACAAAUGAGGCUAUAAGACUAGAUAAGGAAAAAGUAGAGCAGAUGAUUCAAGAGCAAAGAGAAGAUUUAAGAAGUAGACUAGAAAGGGUCAGACAAGCAGAGGAUACAAUUAGACAAAACAUAGAAGAAAUUGAGCUUCAAAGAGAACAACUGGAGAGGAUACGUGUGCAGACAGAGAAGGAAAAAGAGCCAUAUGAAAAGGUCAAGAAUGAACUUAAUAGACUGAGAGAAGAAAUGGAACGACUUUGGGAUGAGACUGAAAAGGAAGAACAGGAAGACAGAGAGAAAUUACAGAGAGAGAAAGAAGAAAUCAAUAAAAAGAUGGAGGAGAUGAAGAAUGAGGUUAUCCAGAUCCAAGACAUGAAAGUGCAGUUAGCAAAACAGAGGGAGGAAGUAGAGGCCAAAAUGGAAAAUGCAAAGGAGGAAAUGGACAAACUUGAGCAGUUGAAGGCAGACUUGCAGCAACAAAAAGAGGAGCUUGAGAAUAAAAUUGCGGAGAAUAAAACAGAGAAAGAAGAAAUAGAGCAGAUGAGGGCUGAAAUACUGAGGCAAAAACAAGAUGUCGAAAAUAAAAUGGAAAUAGCAAAAACAGAAAUGGAAAAAAUGCAGCAAGUCAAGGAAGAAAUCCAACAGCAAAGAGAUGAAUUAGAAGGAAGGAUGCAAAAAGCAAAAAGAGAGAUAGGAGAAAUGGAGCUGAUGAAAAAAGAAAUGGACAGAAAGAAAAAAGAGCUUGAACAAAGAAUGAAACAGACAAUAAGGAAAAAAGAGGAGAUGGACAGAAUGAGGUUGGAAAUGCAGAAAGCAAAAGAAGAAAUGGAGCUUAAAAAGGCAGAAACGGAGAAAGAAAGAUUUGAAAUGGAAUGUGUAAAAGCAGAGAUCCAAAGAGCAAGAGAAGAAUUUGAGACUAGAAUAGAAGAGAAAAGUCUAGACCUGGAAGAAAAAGAGGAGAUAAAUGCUGAGAUAAUCAGACUGAUUAAUCAGAUUGAAAGAACCAGAGAAAUGGUUUGGAGCACAAAAUUUCAUCUGGAAAACAGAAUGGCAGAGGGUCAGGUGGAGGCAGAACACAAAGAGCAGAUGGAUGCAGAGAUGCAGAGGCUCAUUGUAGAAAUUGAACAAAUUAGAGAGAUGCUGAGAAGGCUUAAACUAGAAAUGGAACAAAACAAGGAGUCCAUCAGGAGAGAGAAGGAAGAGAUACGAAUGUUAAAGAUUGAAAUGCAAAGAAGAAAAAGGGACUUGCAAUACAGAGAAGAAAAGAAUAUGAGAGAACGAGGAGAGUUGGAGGUUAUGAGUAGCAUGAUACAGCGACAACGUGAAGAGCUUGAAGAGAGACUGAAAGAUAUGAUGCACCAAAAUGANAAGACAGAGCUUGAACUUAAAGAAGUAAAACAACAGAAUUUAAAACUUGGCAAAGAUUUAGAACUUCAGAAAGAAUUAGAUCCUGAUAAGAAAGUAAUGAAAUCACAGCUAAAUAGAGACUCUGAGGAGAUUGAGAAAAUGAAACUAGAAACAAAGAAUGAAAGACUGAAAGUAGAAGAAAUGGUAGCACAGGUUCUAAAAGAGAAAGAAGCACUAACAGCUGAGAAAGACGAGCUUAAAUUAGAAAAGCAUGAUGUUGAGAUCUCAAAAAGAGAGCUAGAAAGAGACAGAGAAGUUUUACAAAGUCAAAUCACUGAGCAAGAACAACAUAAAAUUAUGCUGACAGACCUAAAGAAAGAGAGAGAGGAGCUUGAGCAUAUGAAAGUCAUCAUUUUAAGCCAAGUUAAUGAUAUUGAAACUGAAAAGGAACAACUGAGACUCACAAAAGAUGAACUGGAGCAGAUCCAAGUAGAGAUCACAAAACAACAACAAGAAAUGGAUGACAUGAGAAACACCAUAAUGAGAGACAAACUACAGCUUGAGCAGAGAUGGGAUGAACUGAAUGAAGAAAAGAAAGGAAGAGAACAACUUUGGCAUGAGUCAGAAAGACAAGAACAAGAUGACAAAGAGAAACUGCAGAGAGAGGAGGAAAUUAACAAAAAGAUUGAGGAGAUGACAAAUGAGGUUAUCCAGAUGCAAGACAUGAAAGUGCAAUUAGCAAAACAGAGCGAGGAAGUAGAGGCCAAAAUGCAAAACACAAAGGUGGAAAUUGACAAACUUGAGCAGUUGAAGGCAGACUUGCAGCAACAAAAAGAGGAGCUUGAGAAUAAAAUUGCAGAGAAUAAAAUUGAGAAAGAAGAAAUAGAGCAGAUGAGGGCUGAAAUACUGAGGCAAAAACAAGAUGUCGAGAAUAAAAUGGAAAUAGCUAAAACAGAAAUGAAAAAGAUGCAACAAGUCAAGGAAGAAAUCCAACAGCAAAGAGAUGAAUUAGAAGGCAGAAUACAAAAAGCAAAAAGGGAGAUAGGAGAAAUGGAGCUGAUGAAAAAAGAAAUGGACAGAAAGAAAAAAGAGCUUGAUCAAAAAACGAAACAGGCAAUCAGGAAAAAAGAGGAGAUGGACAGAAUGAGGUUGGAAAUGCAAAAAUCAAUGGAAGAAAUAGAACAUAAAAAGGUAGAGUCUGAUAUAGACAGUUAUGAGAUGGAAUGUGUAAAAGCAGAGAUCCAAAGAGCAAGAGAAGAAUUUGAGACGAGAGUAGAAGAGAUAGGUUUAGACCUGGAAGAAAAAGAGGAGAUAAAUGCUGAGAUAAUCAGACUGAUUAAUCAGAUUGAAAGAACCAGAGAAAUGGUUUGGAGCACAAAAUUUNNNNNNNNNNNNNNNNNNNNNNNNNNNNNNNNNNNNNNNNNNNNNNNNNNNNNNNNNNNNNNNNNNNNNNNNNNNNNNNNNNNNNNNNNNNNNNNNNNNNAUUGAAAAUGAAAAGGAAAGACUUCAGCUGAGACAGGAUGAUCUAGAACAACUUCAAGAAGAGUCUGAAAAACAACAAAAAGAGCUGGAUGACUUGAGGAACACAAUUAGGAUUGACCAGAAUUUGCUUGAGCAGAGGAAGUCUGAAA